AUGGAGAAACUCCUGGAAGUGUCUUUGUUGAUACUUUGGCUUCAACUGCCCAGGGUGAACAGCCAACAGGAACAGCAUCAUCAGGUCCUGAGCUUCCAGGAGGGUGAAAAUGCCACCAUGAACUGCAGUUAUAAAACUUCGAUAAGCAACUUACAGUGGUAUAGACAAGACUCGGGUCAAGGCUUUGUCCAGCUGAUUUUAAUACGUUCAAAUGAAAGAGAGAAACACAGCGGAAGGCUACGGGUCAUCCUGGACACCUCCAUCAAAAGCAGUUCUUUGUCCAUCAUUGCUUCCCAGACUGCAGACUCUGCUACUUACAUCUGUGCCACAGGACACAGUGUUCACCAGGCACUUGCAGCCUCUGCACAAACUCUGCCCAAGCUGCCCCUUUGA